UACGAGGGGAGCUAGCGUUGUUCGGAAUUACUGGGCGUAAAGGGCGUGUAGGCGGUACCAUAAGUCAGAUGUGAAAGCCCUGGGCUUAACCUAGGAUGUGCAUUUGAUACUGUGGAACUAGAGAUCGGGAGAGGAAAGUGGAAUUACGAGUGUAGAGGUGAAAUUCGUAGAUAUUCGUAAGAACACCAGUGGCGAAGGCGACUUUCUGGCCCGAUACUGACGCUAAGGCGCGAAAGCGUGGGGAGCAAACAGG
rnacentral:rRNA from 1 species